UACGUAGGGUGCAAGCGUUGUCCGGAAUUAUUGGGCGUAAAGAGCUCGUAGGCGGUCUGUCGCGUCGGCUGUGAAAACCCGGAGCUCAACUCCGGGCCUGCAGUCGAUACGGGCAAACUGGAGUGUUGCAGGGGAGACUGGAAUUCCUGGUGUAGCGGUGAAAUGCGCAGAGUAUCAGGAGGAACACCGGUGGCGAAGGCGGGUCUCUGGGCAACAACUGACGCUGAGGAGCGAAAGCGUGGGGAGCGAACAGG
rnacentral:rRNA from 1 species